GCUGUGAUGGUGUAAGGGUAACAUCUAGGCUUCCCAGUAUCUUUCAAUAUACAAAUUGCCUAGGCACCGAGUUCGAGUCUCGGUCACAGCA